AGUGAACGCUGGCGGUAGGCCUAACACAUGCCAGUCGAACGGCAGCACAGUAAGAGCUUGCUCUUACGGGUGGCGAGUGGCGGACGGGUGAGGAAUACAUCGGAAUCUACUUUUUCGUGGGGGAUAACGUAGGGAAACUUACGCUAAUACCGCAUACGACCUACGGGUGAAAGCAGGGGAUCUUCGGACCUUGCGCGAUUGAAUGAGCCGAUGUCGGAUUAGCUAGUUGGCGGGGUAAAGGCCCACCAAGGCGACGAUCCGUAGCUGGUCUGAGAGGAUGAUCGGCCACACUGGAACUGAGCCACGGUCCAGACUCCUACGGGAGGCAGCAGUGGGGAAUAUUGGACAAUGGGCGCAAGCCUGAUCCAGCCAUACCGCGUGGGUGAAGAAGGCCUUCGGGUUGUAAAGCCCUUUUGUUGGGAAAGAAAAGCAGCAGGUUAAUACCCCGCUGUUCUGACGGUACCCAAAGAAUAAGCACCGGCUAACUUCGUG
rnacentral:rRNA from 1 species